GGCGAAGGGGAGCCGCGUCCAGGUGCUCUACUCCACCCCCGCUUGUUACCUGUGGGAACUCAACAAGGCCAACCUCACCUGGUCGGUGAAACAGGACGACUUCUUCCCGUAUGCCGACGGCCCCCACCAGUUCUGGACCGGCUACUUCUCCAGCCGGCCGGCCCUCAAGCGCUAUGAGCGUGUCAGCUACAACUUCCUGCAGGUGUGCAAACAGCUGGAGGCGCUGGCUGGUCCCGUGGCCAACGUGGGACCCUAUGGCUCGGGAGUGAGCUCACCCCUUGGUGGGGCGGUGGCCGUG